AAGGACCCAUUCUGAAUUAGAUCACAG
rnacentral:piRNA from 1 species